UUACAGCCAUAUCACGUUGAAAUACCGGUUCGCGUACUAUCACCAAAGUUAAGCAACGUCGAGCCUGGACAGUACCUAGAUGGGUGACCGCUUGGGAAUACCAAGUGCUGUA